AAAAUGAACAACAAGAGGGAGGAGAUAGCGGAAAUGCCGAGAGGAGAGGACUGGUGAUGACACUGCAAGUCGCUGAUAAACGCCUUUUGCAUCCCACUGAUGUAAGAUUCUUGACAACACGAUUUCUCAUUGUUACUGUUUAGCUCUUUAAAUGGUAGGAGACAGACAAUGAUGUUUUCAGAGUCCAGAUUGACUCUGAUGACAUGUUUUUGGACAGAAUUUGUCUUAGUGAAACUGUGAAAGGACUAAGGCUUCCUGUAUUAGCAAUUUGGUGAACUGAAGGAUUAAUUGUCUAUGUAUGUAGGGGAAUGAAUGCUACCAUACGACGUUUUAGGAAAUGGGCAAUUGUCUUCUCUGAAAUAUCAGACAGGCAUUUCUGUAUCUGUUGAAUAAAGCCUUGGCUUGAUUUAUCUUAUCUCUAUAUACACCAUAUUUCGGAGAUUGAUCUUCAAGGAGUGAGUUUGCAUCAACACAGGCACAUGGUUGCCUUCAUUUCUGGACCAAGUCAAGGUUACAAUUCGCAAUUACGAAGACAAGGGUCCGGUUUUAUGUUUCCGUUCCUGCUUCCGCUGCACGUGUUUCGAGAAAUUUGAUGCACAGUGACUUCUUGUUUUAAACUAGUCCACGCAGAAUAGGUCCUGCCCCUGGAAGAUAUACAGGGAUUACCUCAAAAACUUGGAACUCAAUUUAGUUAGGCAAGAUAAUAGAUAUAUAACAUCAUCACUACUCGAGGAGUAAAGCUAAAUAUGUCCUGCUUGUUUUACCGGAGAUAGCUUCUUUGACGGGCAGUGAUGGAAUUGAGAGGAUAGCUUGGGAUUCAUCAGGUGAGCGUUUGGCUGUGUCAUACAGGGGAGGGGAUGACAAUUACAAGGGCUUGGUUCCCAUUUAUGACACACGAAGAACACCCAUUGUGUCAGCCUCGCUUGUGCAAGUCUUUCCAGGUAUCUAUUCUUGGGUAUUGUCUCAAUCAGAGAUAUAAAAUCAUCAGACAAAUCUCUGCUUUAUCAUUACGGCGGUUUCAUUAGAGGGCCAGGAGAAAACCCUAUUCCUCUAUUGUUUUCGUUCCAUAACAAGUUCAAGGAAGGUCUACUGCUUUCGGUGGACUGUUCUUAUCGAUGUUCCUGCUGUGUUGGAGCACCGGAUUCUGCUGCACAUAUCCGCUUAUAUUAUGGUCACAUGUUCUUCCCUAAUCUA